GGUCAGGUAGCUCAGUCGGUAGAGCAAUGGACUGAAAAUCCAUGUGUCGGCGGUUCGAUUCCGCCCCUGACCA
rnacentral:tRNA from 1 species